UCCGAAAUGGUGUAAUGGUAACAUUCUGCUCUCUCACAGCAGCCCUCGGGGUUCGAUUCCCCGUUUCGGAG